UACGGGGGGGGGCAAGCGUUGUUCGGAAUUACUGGGCGUAAAGGGCGCGUAGGCGGUUUGUUAAGUUGGAUGUGAAAACUGUGGGCUCAACCCAUAGCCUGCAUCCAAUACUGACAGGCUAGAGUUCUGGAGAGGAAGGCGGAAUUCUCGGUGUAGAGGUGAAAUUCGUAGAUAUCGAGAGGAACACCGGUGGCGAAGGCGGCCUUCGUGGACAGUGACUGACGCUGAGACGCGAAAGCGUGGGGAGCAAACAGG
rnacentral:rRNA from 1 species